rnacentral:rRNA from 1 species
GAUGAACGCUGGCGGCGUGCCUAAUACAUGCAAGUCGAACGAACAGACGAUGAUUUUGUUGCGCGGACGUGAGCCGCGGGGGGGUGAAUAACGCGUGUAUAACCUACUUGUAAGUCUGGUAUAACUUCGGAAAACCGGAGCUAAUAGCGUAGAAUAUAUUGAACCGCAUGGUUCGUUAGUGAAAGACGGUGUUUCUGUCUCUUAUAGAUGGUUCCGGGCCGCAUUAGCUAGUUGGUAAGGUAACGGCUUAUUACGGCGACUAUGCGUAGCCGAACUGUGAGGGUGAUCGGCGGCCCUGGAACUGAGCCGCGGUCCAGAGUCCUACGGGACGCAGCAGUAGGCAAUCGUACGCAAUGGGCGGAAGCAUGACGGAGCAACGCCGCGUGAGUGAUGAAGGCGUUCGGAUCGUAAUACUCUGUUAUUAGGGAAGAACCAAUGUGUAAGGAAAUAUGCACGUAUUGACGGUAACUAAUCAGAAAGCACCGGCUAACUACGUG